UGAGGAAUAUUGGUCAAUGGGGGAAACCCUGAACCAGCGACGCCGCGUGUGGGACGAAGGAGCUUUGCUCUGUAAACCACUGUUGGAAGGGAAGAAAAGUAGCUUUAAGCUACCGGGACUGUACCUUCAAAGAAAGGAUCGGCUAACUACGUGCCAGCAGCCGCGGUAAUACGUAGGAUCCGAGCGUUGUCCGGAAUCACUGGGUGUAAAGGGUGCGCAGGCGGAUUUGAACGUCAGAGGUUAAAUGUCACCGCUUAACGGUGAACCUGCCUUUGAAACGGCAAGUCUUGAGUAUGAGAGAGGUAAGUAGAAUUCCUGGUGUAGCGGUGAAAUGCGUAGAUAUCAGGAGGAAUACCAGUGGCGAAGGCGGCUUACUGGCUCAUAACUGACGCUCAGGCACGAAAGCGCGGGGAGCAAACAGG
rnacentral:rRNA from 1 species